UACGGGGGGGGGCAAGCGUUGUUCGGAAUUACUGGGCGUAAAGGGCUCGUAGGCGGCCAACUAAGUCAGACGUGAAAUCCCUCGGCUUAACCGGGGAACUGCGUCUGAUACUGGAUGGCUUGAGUUUGGGAGAGGGAUGCGGAAUUCCGGGUGUAGCGGUGGAAUGCGUAGAGAUCCGGAAGAACACCGGUGGCGAAGGCGGUGAGCUGGGCAGUUGCUGACACUGAGGCGCGACAGCGUGGGGAGCAAACAGG
rnacentral:rRNA from 1 species